GUAGGUGGCAAGCGUUGUCCGGAAUUAUUGGGCGUAAAGCGCGCGCAGGCGGCCCUUUAAGUCUGAUGUGAAAGCCCACGGCUCAACCGUGGAGGGUCACUGGAAACUGGGGGACUUGAGUACAGAAGAGGAAAGCGGAAUUCCAAGUGUAGCGGUGAAAUGCGUAGAGAUUUGGAGGAACACCAGUGGCGAAGGCGGCUUUCUGGUCUGUAACUGACGCUGAGGCGCGAAAGCGUGGGGAGCAAACAGGGAUUAGAUACCCUGGUAGUCCACGCCGUAAACGAUGAGUGCUAAGUGUUAGGGGGGUUUCCGCCCCCGUUAGUGCUGCAGCUAACGCAUUAAGCACUCCGCCUGGGGAGUACGGCCGCAAGGCUG
rnacentral:rRNA from 1 species